CUCAAGGCACUCGAAUGAGAGGCGGAAGAAGCGCUGUUCUAGUGAAUCGAGAAGUCUUUCACUGUAUUAUUGAAGUGCACUUUCCGCAAUAGAACUUAUUGGAAAACAAGCCCAUCUUUCACUAAAGCCUAUCUGCUCUUCCCGGUCCUAUCGAACCUACAUAUUCAAACCAGGUGCUCUCACUUCCUUGGCAUAAAGCAUAGUAACAGAAGGGGGCUGGGAUGUGGGUAUCACUACUAUUGAUUAACCGAUGUCAGUUGCUUUAGCUGAUCCCUCCGGGCAUCCACCCGCAAAGAGACUUCAUCCGCUGCCCCCUGCUAUUGAAUCUAGGGCUGAUUGCCCAUUUCCAAAAGUAGAAGGUGCCGC
rnacentral:lncRNA from 1 species